GAAUAUUUUGUCAAAUUUUUUUCUUUUUCAGUUUACUCAAAUAAACCCUAAAACCUCAUUUCCUUCGACCGUUCUUUCUCAACACCACAACUCAAAGUAAUCGACUCCCAACAUACCUGGUUCAAGCAGUUAAGCCAAAGCAACACUUAUUCCUUACCGGACUCAAUUCUUUUGUUCACUUCUCUUUCUUUUCUUUCACUAUUCCCACCAAGCCUUGGGUUCUCUUGAUGCUUUCAAUCAAUUUUUCUAAAAAAAAAAUAAAAUCAGUUCAUUUUUCUUUCUCAACCCACCACAAAUCCUAAAAUCCCCUCUCAAAUCGACCUCCGCAACUACGACGUGAAGCCAACAGAGUCUCUUAAACUACAAAUGUGGCGUGAAGCGCUCAUUGUUUGUCGUCUUGUCGGCUAUCGUGAACCAAAAGACGGAUUUGAAUGACAUUCCUCCUAGUUAUUCAAAUUUGUUUCUCCACACACAUAAACGUGGCAAGGAUAAAACUUGGGUUGAUAAAAAAUCGAAAUUUGUUCAUGAAAAAUUUAAAUGUAGGUUUGAAGAAUUAACCCAAGAAAAAACUUCACAAGGAACUCCUCCACCAAAUGAAUUAGAUGUGUGGUGUGAGGUUGCUGGAAUAAAAAGAGGAUGAAUAUAUGGUCUCAGAAUAGAAUCUACUAUAUUAUUAGGGAGACCUAAUUAUCGUGGAUCAUGUUCUUCAUCAACAAAGUGGGUUCAAAGACAUGAAUUUGAAGAAAUGAGAAAUGAAAUAGAUCAACUUCGAGAGGAAUUGGCUAAUACAAAUAAAGCAGUUGAGCACAACAACCACUUGAUAAAACAACUGAUGAAUAGCUUGAACUUUAAACCCAUGCCAUAUACUAGAGAUCAAAUUCAUGAAGAUGAGAUUAGUGAUAAUGAUGAUGAGAUUGCUGUUAAUGAUGCUCGUGAUCAUGAUGGUGAAGAGUUAGAUGGAUAGUGAUAAGUUAAUCUGAAGAACCAAUAUGUUGUAAUUUGUUAUGACUAAAUAUAUUAUG